UGGUGGAGUGAUUUGUCUGGUUAAUUCCGAUAACGAACGAGACUCUAGCCUGCUAAAUAGACGAACGAUGCGCUUGCGCGUCGUUUCGAUUCAUUGCUUCUUAGAGGGACAAGUGGCGUCUUUAGCCACGCGAAAUUGAGCAAUAACA
rnacentral:rRNA from 1 species